GCGGUAGGAGGGCUGGGGGGCUAGCCCUCCCCUACCACCUGAAACGGGCUUAUGCAGGGGCCCGCUAACCUAGAGGGGCGGUGCUCCAAUCCGUCUAGAAGGGUUAGGUGUAGGUAGAUGAAGCUCCGCCCUGUAGGACCGGGUGGAGGAGGGGCUUCCCUCGAAGGAGGGAGGCUACCUCCAUUACAGCCGAACCGGGUUAGGCCGGGAACGGAGCGGCCCUAAGGCUGACAUACCGGUGUUUACAGGAUACGGAGCCUAUACCGAGCCUAAUACCUCUAGACGGUGAGGGCAUCCACCCUCAGGGAUGCUACCGC
rnacentral:SRP_RNA from 1 species